CUCACUCUCUCUCUCUCCCUCUCUCCCUCGGCUGACGGCGGAAGAUGCCUGCCACCACUCCGACCCGAUAGAAGAGAGUGCCUCUAAAACCAACGGGCAUUUAUUUACGCGUCUAUAAAAGACCAAAUCACUCUCUCAUUUAAGUAUUUAACUCUGCACUAAUACGAAGGGUCGAAAUAAAUCACAAAAAGCGUCCAAACUCGUCCUCAAAUCGUGAAAACAGGCGCCAAAACAGUCAGCUGGUUAUCGCGCGAAGCGGCAACACACUCAGCGGGAGAAACCAGUUUCCCGCCGCCAUUUUGGGCGCGAUAGCUCGAUACAGGAACCACAGUGCAGAUAAUUGGGUAAAAAAACCAGUUCUUUGCGAGUGUAAGAAAUUUCCGCUAGUGAAAACGACAGUUGAAAGUAUGCGGAAGAUAUGCAGGGAGUUCAAAGUCGCGUAAAAUCCCCGAACGAACUAAAAUGUCCACCCCGCCAUUUCUGCAUCUCCCAACAGUGUGAUUCCAGAAUACCUCGGUCACCUUAGAACUUGAGAAGACUGGCAGAUUACCACGGUGAAGGAUGAGAAACAAAUGCAUAAUACAAGCCUCGGAAUGUGACUGAAGAAUGAUAAUGAAGAGAAGAAAAGGGCCGAAGCGAAAGCAGCUAAAGAAGCAGAGGCAGGAACAACAACAACAAAAACAACCGCUACAGCAACACCACCAGGAACAGCAGCAGCAACAGCAACAGCAACAACAGAAGCGGCCGGUCCGGGGCCCAAAUGCGGGAGGAUCUCUCGCGGCUCCCCUGCUAAGACUGGGGAGGAAAUAUAUCCUGCAAGUUUAAUUACUUUCCCCAACUCGUUAUCAAUCUAAUUUACACAUUCAUUAAAACUUCGGGGAAACUUUUUUUUUUUUUUUUUUACUUUUUUAUUUUUACAGAAAUGCUAUCAAAUCAAGUAGUGGAUCUAACGCCAUUGAGCGUGUGUGUAUGUGUGUUUUUGUUUUUGUUUACGUCCGCCAUGUUGUUUUCGUUGUUAUUGUAAUCCCGUUAUUAUCCAAAAACAGGCAUCAACUUAAUUUAUCGCCGUAUCUCUCAUCUUAAUUAUCGUAAUAGAAGCAGCGCGCUUAUCAACGUUAUUAAUAAAGCCAUUGCAAUUAAUGGCGUAUUAUCCAUUAACAUUUUGUCAUCGUUUCCAUUUACCGUGACUAGAUUAGAUUACGGAGGUGGUUUAUCGAAACCUAAUGAUAAAACAUUAUAUGAAGCGUUCCUGAAUUUAUUGCCAAUAUUCACGACACUUGACCUUUCUUUGUACACGUUUGGUUAUAUCUGUGAUUGUGAUGUUUCCUUAGGAAGGUUAUAGAGGCAGAGAGACAAUAUAAUUUGUCUAUUUUUCUUUCCCUUUCACAAAGAGAUACAUUAUUAUCCAUCAUUCCUAUACAAGCAUCACUAUUUAUAUCAACGUGUCCUUAUCAUACAAGAAUCUACGAUAUGUAACUAACUCGUAGUAUAUUUUAUUCGUAGCAAUAUAUGGUUCCUAUAAAAACAUUACUACGUCCUAGUACAAGAAACUGAAUCUGCCUUAUCAGACAAGAAUCUACGAUAUUUAACUAACUCGUAGUAUAUGUAUUCCUAGCAAUAUGUGGUUCCUAUAAAAACAUUACUCCGUCCUAUAUUAAAAAGUCCUCAAAGCACGAGAAACUGAGAUCUACAACAUAUUCGUCACAUAUUUGUAAUAAUAUCUAACCGUUGUGUCUUUUGCCUCUAAUGAACACAAUUCAUACAAGAUGUAAUUUGGGGCUGGAAAGUAAGUAACACUUCCAUGCCUAUAUGACCGAGAACAAAACCGUACCAGAGCGCUGGAAAAAAAAAAAAAAAAAUGAAUUCAUAACUUUUCUGACAGAUUCACUGAUGGUAACUUGUGUUUAUGAAUGAAAUGCACUUCCGGUACAUGUUAUGAGAGCGAAAAUAAAUUUUGAGCAAAAGUAAAAUAUAAAACACUUUGAAAAAAGAACAUAAAUACCAAGGAAAAUAACGAGAAGGAAUAGACCCAAUAAUUUCUAAAAACACUUGAAAAUAAUACAUCUCAAAUGCAUGUUUCCAGUAAAAUCGCAAACAUUUACACUGACAAGCAGUGAUAAUACAAGAAAUCAUUUAGCUCCAUGACCAACUAGUACGCUUCAGAUACGAUAAUUAUCGCUUUACAUAAGAUGUAUGGCACUAACGCCCAUAGAGAAACCGAAAGAGCAAACCUAUGUGCAAAACAAGGAAGUGAAUUUAAAUUCAUGAAAUAGGUUCUCCUUAGGCCACUGGGAUGACAAGGGAAAAGCUUAAAAUAAACUCCAAGACUCAUAGUUUCCAAUCAGAGUUCUCUUUUUAUUAUUACUAUUAUUCAGAGGAUGAACCCUAUUCAUAUGGAACAAGCCCACCAAAGGGGCCAAUGACUAGAAAUUCAAGCUUCCAAAGAAUAUAGCAUUCAUUAGAAAGGAGUAACACAUGGUAAUGGGACGUAGAGAAAAAAGAGAUCAAUUAUUAAAAAGGAAAAUUUUAAAAAAAUAAAU